rnacentral:rRNA from 1 species
UGGGGAAUAUUGGGCAAUGGAGGAAACUCUGACCCAGCGACGCCGCGUGAGGGAUGAAGGCCUUCGGGUUGUAAACCUCUUUCAGUAGGGAAGAAGCGAAAGUGACGGUACCUACAGAAGAAGCACCGGCUAACUUAUGUG